rnacentral:rRNA from 1 species
AUACGUAGGUGGCAAGCGUUGUCCGGAAUUACUGGGUGUAAAGGGAGCGUAGGCGGGAAUGCAAGUUGAAUGUUAAAUCUAUCGGCUCAACCGAUAACCGCGUUCAAAACUGCAUUUCUUGAGUGAAGUAGAGGUUGGCGGAAUUCCUAGUGUAGCGGUGAAAUGCGUAGAUAUUAGGAGGAACACCAGUGGCGAAGGCGGCCAACUGGGCUUUUACUGACGCUGAGGCUCGAAAGCGUGGGGAGC